rnacentral:rRNA from 1 species
GACGAACGCUGGCGGCGUGCUUAACACAUGCAAGUCGAGCGGAGCGGCGAACGGGUGAGUAACGCGUGAGUAACUGCCCCCCUCUCUGGGUUAACAGUUGGAAACGGCAGCAAAUACCGGAAAGUGGGGGAUGACUCGCGGCUUACUAGCUGGUUGGUGGGGUAGUGGCUUACCAGGGCGACGCCGGGUGGCCGGCCUGGGAGGGCGACCGGCCACAUGGGGCUGAGAUACGGCCCAAACUCCUACGGGAGGCAGCAGUGGGAAAUAUUGCACAAUGGGGGAAACCCUGAUGCAGCAACGCCGCGUGCGGGAUGACGGCCUUCGGGUUGUAAACCGCUUUCAGCCAUGACGCGGUAGUGGCAGAAGAAGCACCGGCUAACUACGUGCCAGCAGCCGCGGUAAUAC